rnacentral:lncRNA from 1 species
GCCCAUCCCUCCCUCCAGUGUGCUCGUCUGCCCUUGGGCCCCUGCCCUUCUGGGCCAAGCGCUGAGAUCCUCCUCAUUAAGAAAUUAUAUUCUUCCUCUAAAGGUGUCUUUAAUUGGGGAAGCAGAAGUGGCAGGAAUUUAGAGCUGGAUCAAGGGACAACAUGACACUUGUUUUCUCACAGGAAAGGUCACAUGUGCCUGUGUACCCAGAAGUUAUGAACAGCAUCAAAAUGCUCCUGUGGUUUGGUCCAAGAUACCGCACCUACUAUGCUGGAGCAAAGGAAUGGAAAGAAAGAGACACUUAUUAAGUGCAGUGUCUCAUUCGGUGUGACUGAAAUGCAAAUCGGCUCUUGUGCCAUGGAGACAUGGGCCUAAUGGCCUGGUUUUU